AGAUAUUGGCAAUCAUAAACCGCCAAAAACGCAAAUCGCAGAACAAAAGAAAAAGGGCAAAUGACACCCCACUUCCGGUUAUGAACCCCCCAACCGCCGCAGCCACACCGUCCCUCCACCGGCGAAAACUUCACCGGCUUCAUGACCUGCCUUCAAUAGAACAGCGAAGCACACACCGAGAAAAGCCUUAAACUUAGCCUAAAAAAGAGAACACAAAAGACCACCAUUGAAGAUUCACCUGAUUCCCAUUGAACUCAGAGUAUCUUUCCCCCAUCCUUGAGUUUGGGCCGGAAAAAACCUUAAUUUGAAAUUUCUUUUGCAGUAAAUUUCCCAAAACUAUAACUCCAAGUUUAGAGCAAAAUUAACUACUCAAAGUCAUAGUUAUAGACUUAUAGCAUGUGCAAGUUUUUGUAUGCAUCGUCAGCUGUGAACGAUUUAAUAUUGAACUCCAUCCAAUCUCAAUAUAAUUUUGUUU